rnacentral:rRNA from 1 species
UACGGAGGGGGCUAGCGUUGUUCGGAAUUACUGGGCGUAAAGCGCACGUAGGCGGCUUUGUAAGUUAGAGGUGAAAGCCCGGGGCUCAACUCCGGAAUUGCCUUUAAGACUGCAUCGCUAGAAUUGUGGAGAGGUAAGUGGAAUUCCGAGUGUAGAGGUGAAAUUCGUAGAUAUUCGGAGGAACACCAAUGGCGAAGGCAGAUCUCUGGGCCGUAACUGACGCUGAGGAGCGAAAGCAUGGGGAGCGAACAGG